rnacentral:lncRNA from 1 species
CGAGUUCCAGUAUAGAACAAUGUUAUUACUGGAGUGGGUGCUGGUGGCACUGUGAUCUAAACCACUGAGCCUCUUAGGCUUGCCAAUUGGAAGGUCAGUGGUUCGAAUCCCCACAACGGAGUGAGCUCCCAUUGCUCUGUCCCAGCUCCUGCCAACCUAGCAGUUCAAAAUCACAUCAAAGUGCAAGUAGAUAAAUAGGUACCUCUUGGUGGGAAGCUAAAUGGCAUUUCCGUGCGCUCUGGUUUCCAUCACGGUGUUUGUUGUGCCAGAAGUGGUUUAGUCAUGCUGGCCUCGUGACCUGGAAAGCUGCCUGUGAACAAACACUGGCUCCCUUGGCCUGAAAGCGAGAUGAGCGACACUACCCCAUAGUCCCCUUUGACUGGACUUAACUGUCCCGGGGUCCUUUACUUUUAUCUUUUACCUUACUGCUGGUGGCUGCCAGCAUAUGGAACAUGGCUCUUUCUGAAAGCUUUGCACAACAUCAGAAAGUGGCCAGAGUUGAAUUUUAGCAUGACAAAUGUGAGGCAACAAAGUUUUGCUUUCUCGGUUUCAUUACCAAAAUGACAGGGUCUCAUCCACCACCACCAAGCAUGGCUCGUUCUGCUGUGGCAUAUGCGUUGAGCUUACCUUUUGGUUCCGGCUGUGUAGUCUUUUACCUAGUAGGAACUCAUGGUAUUGUUUGACAGUUUAUGUACUUGGUCCGCGAUUGUUUGUUUUUACGUGCUCAGGUGUUUGCAUGUUAAAAUUUCCAUUUCAAAUAUUUUUUAUUUUUUAUUGCAGAGGAACACAGAAUCAUUUGAAGUACUGUUGAUGCUUAUGACUUGGGGGCAAGUUGGAAAUGGGGGGGGGGGAGAGAUCCACAACCAGAUAUUCUAAUGAGCAAAUGCUGCUUUCCUGGGGCAAAGGAGGCAGUUCAGAUUGUGGGCCAUGGUGCUGAAUAGUUAACACUUUCCCCCAAGUUAUGUUCCCAGCCAGAAUCAGCUCUCCAGAGGCAACGGAGACAGAGCUUUGGCACAAGUAUCAGUUCAGCUGCAACCAACCAUUUUCCUUAUACUGCUACUCAAUAACAGCAGCAACCAAAGGUUAGUUGGGAGCUGCUCAGCUCCAGAGGCUUUUCUUCACCCACUUGCAAGCUACAUGAUAUAUAUUUGAUAAACUCAAGUCAUUAGCAUGUUAGCAAAUAUAUUUCUCAGCACUCUUCACACAAAGAUACCUUUAAAAAGACAUGCUGGGUUGACCCUGCUUUGGGCUAUUCCUUUGCCUUAUGUAAACUUUGUUUUUGGGCUAUUUCUUUGCUUUAUGUAAACUUUGUUUAUAAACCCUGGCUUAUAAACUUUUCUUUCCCCUGCUCUGUAGCUCAUCCACCUUGCUUGUCUGCUCAUAAUUUGGUUUCAAGCAAUGCUUUCCCCCCUAAAAAAAUGUUUAGAGAUACAGUCAUACGUUGUGUUGUGUCCGAUCCAUGUUGCGUCUUUUCACGUUAAGUCCCACGAUAACCCGGAAGUACCAGACUGGGUUGCUUCUGGGUUUUGCUGCUCGCGCAUGUGCAGAAGCGCUAAAUCGCACUUCACGCAUGCACAGAAGGGCCAAAUUGUGCUCGCACCUGCACAGAUAUAACGCUUCAAGUUGCGGGCAUUUCACAUUACAGACGGGCCUCCAGAACAGAUCACUGAAAUACUGCCCUUCAGUGAGGCCAAGCUUAGAUUCACAAAACGUUUAGAGGUAUGAGUACCUCUGCAAAAUCCCCCCCCCAAAAAGCACCAAUUUCAAAUAUAUAUAAAAUUCAUCCCUGCUUAUCCCUUCCCUCUUCUCCCCUGUUGAUCUUCUCUCUCCUGUAAAGAAUAUAAAGAAAAGCUUGGCUGGUGCAUCAAGACCAUCUACCACACAUCCUGUUUCUCAUGGUGGCCAAACAGACACCUAUGGGAAUCCUGCAGACAGGACCAGCAUGCCACCGCCCUCUCUCCACUUCUGAUUCCCAGCAGUGAUUCCCAGAGACACACUCCCUACACCAGUGGAGGAAGAACACACCCAUCAUGGCUGGUACCCACUGAUACCCUUUGCCCUCCGUUAGUCUGCUGAAUCCAGUUUCGAAGUCAGUGGCCAACACAACAUAUUGUGGGAUAUAAUUCCACUAUGUUUAACUAUGUGCUGUUCGAAUAACUUCUCUCCCACCCUCCCCCGCCCUGAACUUCCAACAUUCUGGGUGGAAUUCAGCAACUUUGUUGCAUUGCCAUGUGAAAUAAAUUUGGUUGUUUGCAUGACUGCUUGAUGUCAUCAC